rnacentral:piRNA from 1 species
UAACCAGUUCCGAAUAUAAGCUCUGAGGC